GACGAACGCUGGCGGCGUGCUUAACACAUGCAAGUCGAACGGAAAGGCCCUGCUUUUGUGGGGUGCUCGAGUGGCGAACGGGUGAGUAACACGUGAGUAACCUGCCCUUGACUUUGGGAUAACUUCAGGAAACUGGGGCUAAUACCGGAUAGGAGCUCCUGCUGCAUGGUGGGGGUUGGAAAGUUUCGGCGGUUGGGGAUGGACUCGCGGCUUAUCAGCUUGUUGGUGGGGUAGUGGCUUACCAAGGCUUUGACGGGUAGCCGGCCUGAGAGGGUGACCGGCCACAUUGGGACUGAGAUACGGCCCAGACUCCUACGGUAGGCAGCAGUGGGGAAUAUUGCACAAUGGGCGGAAGCCUGAUGCAGCAACGCCGCGUGCGGGAUGACGGCCUUCUGGUUGUAAACCGCUUUCGCCUGUGACGAAGCGUGAGUGACGGUAAUGGGUAAAGAAGCACCGGCUAACUACGUG
rnacentral:rRNA from 1 species